ensembl:lncRNA
GAGCAAGCCAAGUCAGAAACCUUAUUCCUCUCCAGGACACUUUACAGGAAAAAGAAGUGGUUAGACCAGCACUGAUCCUCGGGCUCUGGUGGCUCGCUCUGGGCUCUGCUUACCUUGUCAGAUCUUUGAGAAACAUACUCAGGGCUUCAGAAGGUGUGACAGAAAGCCCAAGGGCUGGGCUGGAAAGUUCUAUGGCAGGGCUGCCUCCUCAUGCACUGCCAGCUCGUCUGGACAGCUCUUUGUCCCCUUAUGGCAAACGGAGGAAGACAGGAUCAUGGUCACCCCCCACAGGACCACUGGGACAGGUGGAACUUAAGAGACAAGGUUGGUUUGCAAGCAGAAGAACUGUGCACCUAACGGGAGUGCUGGUUUGUGUGUGGCUGGGGGGUGGGGGCAGGAGGAGAGCGGGGGUGAGCAGGGCUGGGGCUCUCCGACGGUCAGCACCGCGCUGAACCUGGGCCACUUCCACUCCACCCGCCCGCAGGUGCCUAGGGCAGGAAGGGUUGCUGCUGUGAUGGAGGAACUGAUUUUACGUUAUUUAAUUUGCAUUAAUUUGAGUUUAAAUACCAGGAGAUGUCAGGACUUGAUCCUAACAGAUCUUAAGUGUCUGUGUCUUGCUGUUUGUUGCAGAUUUUAAACUGAAACAAGCAAAUACAUUCAUUGUGUCCUAAUAGUUUAAACAGCAAGUUAAGUGCACAGCUUUCCCUGCUCAUGGGGUCUCAGCAGCUCAGGAACGGUCUGAGGGACGUGCUCGGCUCAGCUCCCGCUCGGGGAGGCUCUGCGAACUCAGCAGCCCAGGGCAGAUCCAGCCACGGUUUCCUGAGUCCUCGGCUGCGGGCAGUCAAACAGACCUCUGGUCUGCUGUCCGGGUCCCCGGGGCCUCCCUGGUGGCUCCGUAAUUCCUGGAAUAAUGAUGAGCCUCAGGGCUGUGGUUGCAGGCUGCCGGUCAGCUCUGGGCCAGGUGCCGAAGGCCCCCCAGAAGCAGACCAGAGAGGAGGGCUGAGGGCUGAUGGUUUCUUCUGGAGGGGAUGGCACGUCUCCAGGGCAGGCAGGGAGGGAGGGCGCCAUCCAGCUGUGCUGCCGCCCACACAGGCAGGCCACACACUCUGUCCCGGGAGCCCGAGAUCCUCAGAAUCGUCCCAGCUGGGCAAGGGGGUGGGGAUGCAGGCUCCCAACCCCAGGGGCCGUAGUUGGGGCCUCAGAGACUGAGGAGGGGAGAUGCGGUCCAGGCCAGGAAGUGCCGACCAGGCCUGGGAACCUCAGGCACAGCUGUGGGUGCUGCUGUGGGUGCAGCUCUUCCAGGGCUGGCCAGGUGGGACUCCUUGGUGAGAACGAGAGCGAAGCAGGAAGCCUGCUUAAGGCCCCACUGCUGAGGGCCCGCAGCUGCAGUCAGGCCUCUGGGCUGCUGCCCCUGCCACAUGCAGACCCCUCUCUAGAUCUUCUCCGCUCCCUGGGAUUGUGCGGAGUGUGUUCAGAGACACAGGGGCCAAGGCUGGGCACAGUGCCCAGCGUGUAGGAGGCACAUAAACAGAUAUUUGUGGGAUGAGUGAAUAAAUGCAUGACUACAGUGUGCAGCGGCCCUCACUGUCUCCAGCUUACCUGUCCUCCCUGACCUGUCUCCCAGCUGUAGACUGAGAAGAGCUGCCAGGGUCCUGGUGGCCGGGGGGUGCCAAGGCCCUGCGUGCCCAGCAUCUAGACCUCUGCAGCAGAACCAGCAAGGUGGUGCCACCCUUGGGGGGGCCAGCGGGCUUCUCCAGGCCCAGGUGCGGUCCUGCAGGAGCCGCCUGCCCCACAGUGACGUGGGCCAUCCAGCUGCUGCUCAUCAAUCACCACUUUCGCUUCUGUGAUCUUGCUUGCUUGUUGCAGGGGAGGGAUCUGAGCUUUUUGAGCUAGAAGUUUCUGGUGUAUAAAAGACACCCAGAACAAAGCCAGGACACUCAGCCUUUGGAAGUAACUCUGCCGAGCGGGCACCGGUACUGAAUAAACCCUGCUGUUCUGUGCCGGGGUCCAGCCCCGGCUGAUCCAGGGUAUUCAAAGCGGGGACGGCGUCGACAACCUAUUUAUUUAAAUAUUUUAUCAAAGAUAUAAAGAGUAAUAGGAUGAGGAUAGCUCAGUGAGGAAAUUUAGUGGAGAAAAGAGGCUGAAUAAAAUUCCAAAGCAGGGAAUUUACGUCACCUACGAAGGCCGCAGGCGUCCUCCCGUUCUCCCAAAGGAGAGGAGACACUAAGGCCUCCCCGGUCGGAUCUUAGAAGCCCAGGCAAAAUUAGUAGGCUUGACGAGCUUCCCCGCCUCAGAGGAAAAAUUCAGCUAGAAGGUGAAAGAAAGAACGACAUGGGGAGACCAAGUUUCGGUGAACAAGGCCCGCAC